ACUAAUGAAUAUGCAACUAUAACAUUCAUGGGCAUUUCAUUAGUAUAAUACCCAUAGAAUGAUGCUAAAUACAAGCAAACAAUCACUAAAGUUAUGAAAAAUAAAGAGAAAUUCAUGUUUUGAUGAUGAAUUUUUAUAGAAGGUUAAGAGGUGAAGAAGUUGUGCAAAUAAAUGGUUGAAGGAACAAGUAUUUAUAGGACAAAAACUAGCCGUUUAUGACCGUUGGUGAAUAGUGUUCAUGACCGUUGGGGGUGUAGUUGUUUUCUAUUAUGGGAUUUUAACAAUUCUAAGUUGUUGAAGUAACCAACAGGUGGGAAUAAUUAAUUUAUGGGUGUUAGAGAAACUUUUUCAGAAAAGUUUGUGAGUCAAAAAUGCUGGACUAAGUAAUAUAAGAAGAUUGGGAAAUUUUCAUUUUUUUACUAUUCACCGGGUACUAUUCAUAGUGGGUCCCACAGUGGGGUCCGCAAGGGUCCCACAGUAGGGUCCACAUGGGUCCCACAGCGGGGUCCACCCCAUGGGUUCCACAUGUUGAUGCAGUAGUGACACAUUGAUGACUUAAGCAAAUUACUAUGCUUGAUAUUUUGAAUAUGUUAUUAUUCCACUAUGCUUAUUAUUUUUAAUAUUUUAUUAGAAUAGUAUCCCAAGUUUUUCCUAUAAAUAGCCCUUCCAAAACUCAUCUUGAAAUCACAAAAAACCUCAUUUUCCUUUCUCUUACUAUACCCAAAAAUCUUCUUAACAUCCUUCUAAAGUUCUAAACCUCGGAGAUCUAGGCGAAGUUCUGUCCAUAACGCUAGCCUACGAAAACCUUUUAGGAAGCUAACAAUUUCGGUUGUUUUAUCAAGACGCAAGGUAAGAGGCCCCAAAUAUAAAUCGUUGAUGAGUAUACGUGGAGCCAACAUGACUGUACAUAUGGGGCUGACCUGAAGGGAGUGGAGUUCUGCUAUGCUAUUUUAUAAAUAAACAAGAAACUUGGUUUUAUUAUAUUUCAUAAAAAGUAUUUCAUGAACUUUGUAAUUUACAUAAAGCUUUUCAAUUUAUCAGUUGGAUACAUUUUCAUUUCUACGUUAAUGUGCAGUAACGCCACGAAAAUGAUUUAUAAAAGUAUUAAGAUUUGUAUGUAAGAUAAAGUUUUUAUUUAGUUGUGAGUAUUGUGUGGUUAAGGUUAUAAACAUUAUUUAUGUAUUGUUUAAUAAAGUUUUUGUAAA